rnacentral:lncRNA from 10 species
GGGCCAGGAGGAGGAGCAGGCAGGGAGGCUGCUGGUGCCUUUGGCUCAGCCAGUGGGGCUCUCAGCCCUCUGGAGUGUGCCCUAGGGACCAGUUUGUCCAUGCCCCUGCCUCCAGGCCAGUCACUAGGACCAACAGAUGUCCCAAGGAAGACACCGGCCAUGACUGCAUCCUGGAACCAUAUCAAACUGGCAGCACUUACUUCUCUGGACUUGUUUUUGUUUCACCAAAUUUGCUGGAUCUGUUGGCAAGUUUGAGUGAACAGUCUCAGACUGCAAAGCAAGUCAGCACUACCACAGAGGGAAUCCCAAACUCGCUGCUGAGAACAGAACAGCUGUGCCCUCGCCGACUGGGACCCGAGUGACAUCUACUGGAGCAAGCAGGGGCUGCACGUGAGCAGGCAGCCAUUCGGUCACUCCCCGUCAUUCCAACACAAUCGAAUUUGUGUAGAAAAUUUACAUGCAUCAUAGGCUAUUUAUGAAUAUAUGCACACGUAGAAAGAGGAAAAAUACGCUUGGAAAUGGUAAACAUAACUUCAAGAUAGUAGUUACCCUUGGGUUCGGUAGGGGUGAAGGAGUGGUAAGGGUUUUAGUUUUAUCUUUAACCAUUUCUUUUUUCACUUACUUAUUUGUAGAGAUGGGAGUCUCACUAUGUUGCCCAGGGUAGUCCUGGUCUCAAGCAAUCCUCCCACCUUGGCUUCCCAAAAUGCUGGGAUUACAGGCGUGAGACACCAUGCCUGGCCACAAUUUGGUUUCUCUUUCAAAAGAUCCGAUACCAGUGUGCCAAAGUAUUGACAUCUAUUAAAUCUUUCAGGUGGUCCUACUGAGGUCUGUUUUUCUGUGCUUAUCUCUAAGUUUAAAAUCGUUCAUAAUAAACAUAUAGUUUAUAUUAAUAGUAAUAAUAUACAGUAUAUAUUAUACUAUAUAUUUAUUAUAUAGUAUAUACUUUAUAUUCAUUAUAUAUUGUAUACUUACAUUUAUGG